UUCACCAGUCAAAGGCGCUUUUUCCGAAGAUGGCUGGGAGCUCCAGCCUUUGCUUGAGGGUCUUUGGUGUUGACUGAGCGAAUUAAAAGGUUCUCAGCCUUCGCUAAGGAACGCAUUCUGGAGUCUAGAACAGCCGAAGAUGGGACUGGGGUGUCUGGGGACUUAGACCUGAGCGAGCAGGGGAAUCCAGGGUGUGAGAUGAACUGUGUUAGAGAUUUUAUAUGCCGCUGUUGAAAGACAACAAGUGGUCGUGAGUGGAUAUUGUGACCAUGGAGACUUAUGGCAGUGCAAAGGCGGCCAUAAACAAUACAGAAGCAAUCCAGCGUGGCUGUGUUCAAUAAAACUUGAUGGAUUAUAAAAUUUGAA